GGCUCUAAGAAGUGACCUCGAACCUCCUCCUCCAGUUCCCGUGUCCUGCUGAUUGACGUUUCUAAUCUCAACUCAGGGCUCUUUUUGUUUUUGCAGCUGCUCACAUGCUGAAGUCUGACUGGACCCGGCCAAAACCGUUUCCAUGGUAAUUAAGCAUACACAGCUGUGGUGGUUCUUCCGAUGGACAAUAGUGAGAUGAGCAGACUGACCUUCAGUAAAUAAAUCAGUCUUCUUCUUUGCCCAAUCGAACACAGCGCUGGGAAAAGAAACAAGGGAACUGUGCCAGAACAGGCGGAAUAUGCUGAGGGGAUUUCGUGACAAGAAAGAAAUUAAGAAAUGAGCUAUGUGUGGACGUAUGGAUAGUGUGUACACAUGGUGACACAGACGAGGGGUAAACAAAUGUUUUACAGCUGGGAAUCUCGUAGUGUUUAAGCGCACACUCUUCCUUAUGAUUGCAGCAGACUUAUGUUUAAAGCCUUUAUCUAUCUGUGGACUCUGUACCGCACAGGAGAUGGAUGUAUUUGCUUAGAUGCACAAAGACGAGAUCAGAAGCGGGUCCUUUUCUUUUUGGCUGAAAAAAAGAAAGGAGGAAAAAGUUCGGAGAGGAGAAUGAAAGAGCAUGUCAUCGAAGUAAUCUUGAAAA